rfam:Schistosoma mansoni strain Puerto Rico chromosome 3, complete genome
AGCUUUCUGAAUCCAUGCAGAGUUUUUGUUAGGCACCAACCCAAUAGUGCUGAUCAGACUUCCAAGAUAAGUGAAGUU